GACGAACGCUGGCGGCGUGCUUAACACAUGCAAGUCGAACGGAAAGGCCCUGCUUUUGUGGGGUGCUCGAGUGGCGAACGGGUGAGUAACACGCGAGUAACCUGCCCUUGACUUUGGGAUAACUUCAGGAAACUGGGGCUAAUACCGGAUAGGAGCUCCUGCUGCAUGGUGGGGGUUGGAAAGUUUCGGCGGUUGGGGAUGGACUCGCGGCUUAUCAGCUUGUUGGUGGGGUAGUGGCUUACCAAGGCUUUGACGGGUAGCCGGCCUGAGAGGGUGACCGGCCACAUUGGGACUGAGAUACGGCCCAGACUCCUACGGGAGGCAGCAGUGGGGAAUAUUGCACAAUAGGCGGAAGCCUGAUGCAGCAACGCCGCGUGCGGGAUGACGGCCUUCGGGUUGUAAACCGCUUUCGCCUGUGACGAAGCGUGAGUGACGGUAAUGGGUAAAGAAGCACCGGCUAACUACGUG
rnacentral:rRNA from 1 species